UACGUAGGCAGCAAGCGUUGUUCGGAUUUAUUGGGCGUAAAGAGCGUGUAGGCGGUUAUACAGGUCCGCUGUGAAAACUGGAGGCUUAACCUCCAGACGUCGGUGGAAACCGUAUAACUAGAGUCCGGAAGAGGAGAGUGGAAUUCCUGGUGUAGCGGUGAAAUGCGCAGAUAUCAGGAAGAACACCCGUGGCGAAGGCGGCUCUCUGGGACGGUACUGACGCUGAGACGCGAAAGCGUGGGGAGCGAACAGG
rnacentral:rRNA from 1 species